AGAACAAACGGAGCUCCGUCAAAAUUAGAGACAAUAAAGUUGUUGUACGAUCCUUCCAGGUUUUCGCGAAGCCUGAGGCCAAAGUUAUUUUUUUCGGGGCUACUGCCUUCUCCGGCUCCGUAAACGGUCACGUUAUAUAGGUUUGGAGAGGUAGGUCCGUUACCUCCGUCACAAUCAGAGAGGUCAUCGCAACCAUCAUUUUCGAAACCGUUGUCGGCA
rnacentral:misc_RNA from 1 species